rnacentral:tRNA from 1 species
GGCGAGAUAGCUCAGUUGGCUAGAGCAACUGGUUCAUACCCAGUAGGUCGAGGGUUCGAAUCCCCCUCUCGCUACCA